rnacentral:rRNA from 1 species
AGUGAACGCUGGCGGUAGGCCUAACACAUGCAAGUCGAACGGCAGCACAGUAAGAGCUUGCUCUUACGGGUGGCGAGUGGCGGACGGGUGAGGAAUACAUCGGAAUCUACUUUUUCGUGGGGGAUAACGUAGGGAAACUUACGCUAAUACCGCAUACGACCUACGGGUGAAAGCAGGGGAUCUUCGGAACUUGCGCGAUUGAAUGAGCCGAUUUCGGAUUAGCUAGUUGGCGGGGUAAAGGCCCACCAAGGCGACGAUCCGUAGCUGGUCUGAGAGGAGGAUCAGCCCCACGAGACUUGAGACACGGUCCAGACUCCUACGGGAGGCAGCAGUGGGGAAUAUUGGACAAUGGGCGAAAGCCUGAUCCAGCCAUACCGCGUGGGUGAAGAAGGCCUUCGGGUUGUAAAGCCCUUUUGUUGGGAAAGAAAAGCAGCAGGUUAAUACCCCGCUGUUCUGACGGUACCCAAAGAAUAAGCACCGGCUAACUUCGG